AUGAUUCCAUCGUCGUCCAGUAGAGGUGGAGCCACGGUUGCCUUGAACCACAGGCACAGUCCGUGCUCGCCGCUGCCCACCAAGGAGGCGCCUACGUUGGAGGAUCUGCUCCGCCGCGACAAGGUUCGAGCCGCCUACGUCCAGCGGCGCCUCGGCGGUAUCCAGCAAUCGGAGGUCAGCAUGCCGACUGAACUGGGAUACACCGUGGGCACCCUGGAGUAUGUGAUCACCGUCGGCCUCGGCUCCCCGGCGGUUCAGUAAACCAUGAUCCUGGACACAGCCAGCGAUGUGUCAUGGGUGCACUGGCGCACCUCGGGCGGCUACGACCCCAGCAAGUCGACCACCUACGCGGCGAUCUCCAGCAGCUCCGCGGAAUGCUCGCAGCUCGGCGAGGAGGGAAACGGCUGCAUGAGCUCCGACUGCCAGUACUUGGUACACUACGGCGACGGCUCGAGCACCGGUGGGACAUACGGCUCCGACACGCUGGCGCUAGCGGGCUCGGGCUCGGGCUCGGCGACAGUCUUUGGGUGCAGCCACGACGAGACGGGGUUCGAUGACCUAACCGACGGGCUCAUGGGGCUAGGCGGCAAAGCACAAUCCCUCGUGUCGCAGACGGCGGGAACGUUUGGGAACGCCUUCUCAUACUGCCUGCCGCCUUCCCCGUUCCUCUCCGGUUUCCUGACUCUCGGUGCGCCCAGCAACACGUCGGGAUUCGCGACGACCCGGAUGGUAAGAUCCGAAGCGGAGGCGACGUUCUACUUCGUCGUCCUCCAGGGCAUAAUCGUGGCCGGAAAUCAACUCAGCCUACCACCCACCGUCUUCUCCGCCGGGACGUUCAUGGACUCCGGCACCGUCGUCACGCGGCUACCACCAACGGUGUACCAGGCGCUCUCGUCGGCGUUCAAGGCCAACAUGACGCAGUACCCUGCUGCGCCGCCGAGGAGCCUCAUGGACACGUGCUUUGACUUGGCUGGCCAGGAGAAAGUCAUGAUACCGUCCGUCGUGCUGGUAUUCGACGGGGGCGCUGUUGUCUACCUCGAUGCCAAUGGUAUCAUGCUGGAGAACUGCCUCGCGUUCGCGCCUACAGACGAUGACGGUAUGCACGGCAUUAUCGGCAAUGUGGAGCAGCGUACCUUUGAGGUGCUCUACGAUGUCGGCCAGGGUGUCGUCAGGUUCAGGCCCAACGCGUGCUGA
rnacentral:rRNA from 1 species